rnacentral:rRNA from 1 species
GAUGAACGCUAGCGGGAGGCCUAACACAUGCAAGCCGAGCGGUAUUGUUUCUUCGGAAAUGAGAGAGCGGCGUACGGGUGCGGAACACGUGUGCAACCUGCCUUUAUCUGGGGGAUAGCCUUUCGAAAGGAAGAUUAAUACUCCAUAAUAUAUUGAACGGCAUCGUUUAAUAUUGAAAGCUCCGGCGGAUAGAGAUGGGCACGCGCAAGAUUAGCUAGUUGGUGAGGUAACGGCUCACCAAGGCGAUGAUCUUUAGGGGGCCUGAGAGGGUGAUCCCCCACACUGGUACCGAGACACGGACCAGACUCCUACGGGAGGCAGCAGUGAGGAAUAUUGGUCAAUGGGUGCAAGCCUGAACCAGCCAUCCCGCGUGAAGGACGACUGCCCUAUGGGUUGUAAACUUCUUUUGUAUAGGGAUAAACCUACCCUCGUGAGGGUAGCUGAAGGUACUAUACGAAUAAGCACCGGCUAACUCCGUGCCAGCAGCCGCGGUAAUACGGAGGGUGCAAGCGUUAUCCGGAUUUAUUGGGUUUAAAGGGUCCGUAGGCGGACUUAUAAGUCAGUGGUGAAAGCCUGUCGCUUAACGAUAGAACUGCCAUUGAUACUGUAAGUCUUGAGUAUAUUUGAGGUAGCUGGAAUAAGUAGUGUAGCGGUGAAAUGCAUAGAUAUUACUUAGAACACCAAUUGCGAAGGCAGGUUACCAAGAUAUAACUGACGCUGAGGGACGAAAGCGUGGGGAGCGAACAGGAUUAGAUACCCUGGUAGUCCACGCCGUAAACGAUGCUAACUCGUUUUUGGGCUUUAGGGUUCAGAGACCAAGCGAAAGUGAUAAGUUAGCCACCUGGGGAGUACGCUCGCAAGAGUGAAACCCAAAGGAAUUGACGGGGGCCCGCACAAGCGGUGGAUUAUGUGGUUUAAUUCGAUGAUACGCGAGGAACCUUACCAAGACUUAAAUGGGAAUUGACAGCUUUAGAAAUAGAGCUUUCUUCGGACAAUUUUCAAGGUGCUGCAUGGUUGUCGUCAGCUCGUGCCGUGAGGUGUUAGGUUAAGUCCUGUAACGAGCGCAACCCCUGUCACUAGUUGCCAUCAUUCAGUUGGGAACUCUAGUGAGACUGCCUACGCAAGUAGAGAGGAAGGUGGGGAUGACGUCAAAUCAUCACGGCCCUUACGUCUUGGGCCACACACGUAAUACAAUGGCCGGUACAGAGGGCAGCUACACAGCGAUGUGAUGCAAAUCUCGAAAGCCGGUCUCAGUUCGGAUUGGAGUCUGCAACUCGACUCUAUGAAGCUGGAAUCGCUAGUAAUCGCGCAUCAGCCAUGGCGCGGUGAAUACGUUCCCGGGCCU